CUGUUGGGAGCAACGCCUGGGCGGCGGAAGCACCUUGCCUUGUCCCUUGAGCCUGUCAGUUGCCAAGGUUUCCUGUGCGGGGGGGGGGGAGAGGGGGUGCGCUGGCGGCUUCUGUGUGGGCGCGGGAGGUGGGGGGCACUUGCCUGCGCUCCUCACCUCGCGCCACCAAGAGGCAACGCCGCCGCCGCCGCCGCCGGCCGCCACCACCACCAUGGCUUCGGCCUGGGCGGGGUUGACUGAGCGCGAGCGGGACGGCUGCCGGGAGCUCCUGGAUCUUCUCCACACGGACGACCUGCUGUCGCUGACGGACACCGUGACUAACCGCCUCGUGCAGCCGGACGACCGCCAAGAAGCCAUAAAUGCCAUCGUAUUGUACAGUCAAAGUGCUGAAGAGCUGCUGAAGAGAAAGAAGGUCUUUCGAGAGGUAAUCUUCAAGUAUUUGGCAGCAAAAGGAAUCGUAGUGCCGCCUUCUUCUGAAAAGCACCAACUUGUUGAUCGUGCAAAGGAGUACUGGUGUGAACAGCUAAAAGAUAAUGGCUCGGAGGAAAUCAAUACUAAGCCUGAUGUACAGAAACCUGAAGAGGGAGGGAAGGAAGGAGGAGACAAGCAAGAUCACAGCAAAGAUUGCCACAGUCUGGGAGAGGAGUUCUGCCAGUGGUUCUUUGGAAUUCUGAACUCUCAGAACCCGUUGAUUGGAGAACCACAUGAUGAAUGGGGACCACAACAUUUUUGGGAUGAUGUAAUCCUAAAGUUUUGCUAUAAUACUUCAGAACAAAACAUGGAAGAGUACUUGGGUGCAGAAUUGGUUAGCCUUCGUUUACUGUCAUUGGUGAAAGAAGAAUACCUCUUCCUGAACCCGAACUUGGACGCAGGUGGCCUGAAGUGGACAGUUUCACGACAUGGGUUAGUUGUGGUGGCAGUAGCAGGCACAGUUCAUAGAAAUACUUCUUGUUUGGGCAUCUUUGAACAAAUCUUUGGACUCAUCCGCUGCCCCUUUAGGGAGAAUACGUGGAAAAUCAAAUUUGUGAACCUAAAGAUUGUUGGUCAGAAUGCCCUGGAACCUGGGACCCACUUAGAAAGACCUUGCAUAAAAUAUGAGCAGGAAGAACUCCAGGAAUUCUAUGUUUCCAAUGAUCUUUCCUUGGUUGAGUCUCAAAAAUCCUGAGCAUUCUGUGUGCGGAAUGAAGUAGAACAGUUUGUGGGCCCAGAAAAUACAACACAUGAGCAUACUUGAGCAUUCAAGUGUGGGGAACGUUUGUCCCUCCAGAUGCUGCUGAAGUACUACUCCAGUCAGCCCUAGCCAGAAUGUCCAAUGGCCAAGGAUGUUAAGAGUUAUGAAGAACUAAAGGUUUCCCACACCUGUUCUAUGGGCUGUUGCUGCUUCUUUGCUGUCACAUUGGUCACAAUGUUUUCCAAUCACCUUUGCUGCUACUGAUCCAGGUUUAAGUUUAUUGUAUUGAUUUACAAAGCCCAGAAUAACUUGGGUCCAGGAUAUUUCUCAGGGAUUGCCUUAACCCUUUAUAAUCCAGCUUUAUCACUUAAGAUCAUCUGCAGGAGCAUCUUUGGUCAUUUCCUGAGUUGGCGAGGCUCGUUUGACAUCAACAAGAAACCAAGCCUUCAGGGUCAUCGGCCCAGGCCUAUGCAACAUCCUACCAAUAGAGAUUCAGCUGGGCAUCUUCUCUGCCAAUUUUUAAACACAUGCUGAAAACUUUUGGACCAGACCUAUGCAAACACUUAAGAGUGCAUUCACCACAGUAGUCUAUUGAUGUUUGUUUUUAAUUUAUUUUUGCUUUUGUUUUUUAACUUGUAAAGUGAUGAGCUUUACAUUUUUAUAUUGUUAUAAACUGCUGUAAUAAUUUUUUUAUGAUACAGCAGUAUAUAAAUAGUUGUAUAAACAAUAAAUAAAGUGAAAACUGAGAACCACACGGCUAUAAUCACCAAUACACCUGCAAGCUUUACUCAGCUGACGUAGAAAUUUCUGCAGAAUUUUGAAAUUCCUGUUUUGCCAGCAAGGCACAUAAGACACCCUCCAAUUGGUGCAAUGAGUUGCAGAUCAGCCAGUACAGAGUGAAAUCCAGUGCCUAAUUCAACCACAGAACAGAAAGCAAAAUCCUUUUGAGAGGUGGGGGGCAAUUUUAUAUAACUUUGCUAUACUGAAUGUUCAAGACAUCAUGAAUUUAGUGCCAUCUAGAAGGUGUGUGUGUGUGUGUGUGUUUUGGAUUUGAACAUCUCUCAUUUUUGUUAUUUAAAGAGAUUUCUUUUUUCAUUGACACGGAAGGCAACCAUUGUACUAUGGUUAAAAUUUGGUAGAGGUGGCCAGAUCCGGUUAAAAUUGGCCAGAGGUUAGAUCUAGCCCAUGGGCUAUAUGCUGGGCAUUUCUGGAUUAAGCAGAAGUUCACCACUGCACACUUCCUUGAUGCCUCAUCAGUAACGCAAAGGCUGGUUAUUUCCUUUGGCUGAAUUACCUCUAUCAGAUGGAGCAGUUGGAGAUGAUCAACCUGCCAUUGAUAAAAAUCUGAACCCAUCCUUGCUUUUUUUCAAGAUCUGCCUCUUUCUUAAGCUGGUCAAUAAUGUCAAGCUGUGAUUUAUUUUUUUAAGGGGGAAAAUAAAACCUGUAUUGUUGCUGGGGUCAUGCAGGAAAAUGUUAUCCAUGACAGCUGUCAGGAAGAGAGAGAGAGUGAGUUGGCUGGCUGGCAACAGAAUUUCAACUGACUUGUUAACAAACACAUUUCUGAGAGUCAGGAUCUCUGUAGGCUUAGGAGCUCAGGAAGGAAUAUAGAGCACUGUUCUGGCAAAAGAAUAGCUCUCUCUUCACCUGACUGCAAAUCUUAACAAUCAUGUUGAGAGUGAGAUUGAAAGAGGAAUUGCUUGCUUUCAGCACCUGUCUCUCUGCCUUUACAUCAUCUCUUGAUUUAUUCUGCUGCUUAAAGAAUGAUGCAAUAAUCGUAACAAAUCAAUUUCAUUAAGGCAGCAGGAAAUAUUUCCCAAAGAGUAAUUCAAUUUAGUCUACCGCCAGACUUGGAACAGGUUCACACAUACACAUACAUCCCUUGAUCAUCAGAUUACUUGACACUUGGCCAAAUGUGUGAAUUACCUCUGCUGAAAAGUGUUUAUCCAUCACCACCAUGUUAAUAAGUGAUUGCUCAUGAAGUACAUCAGAAGCAGGGAACCCAACGGGAAGAUGGCUGGAAUGUCAGUUGCUACCAAAGGAGUGACAGAACUUCUAAAGGUUGGUUGCAUAGAAGCAGAAUACAUUUCUUUGUAUGUGUCUCCACUGUAGAAGUGCACCAGAGAGAAUCAGUUAGGAUGGCUACAUCCAAAAAUGUCUAUUUCCCCCCCCCCCGAAAGUAGAUGGCACCUGUAGUAUCUCAACCUGGGGCUGCUAUACUGAAAAGUCUGCUCCGAAUCAUUAUUCUAAACAUUGUGACUUGAGACACUAGACUUAACUGAUGAAAAGUACUGUGUGCCAUAGAUGUCAGUUUGGCUUCAAGUUAUAGCAAAGAUCAAUGAGCCCCUCAAUACUGCAAACCUGAUACUUCAGGGCAAUCUUUUUUUUCUGUUGAAGGCCACAUGCUGGUGGUAGAUGGGGCAAGUUUGGUGAGGGUUUAGUCUGCAUGAUGCCUGAGCUCCUAAUUCCUGGAUCCAGCAAGGGCUAACAUCUAAUUGAGGAUCCCACUGUUGAAUUAACCAGGCAAGGCCCAUAAUGGUCCCCAAAUAGGGGUCAGUAUAAGAAAGAAAAGCUUUGUGCCAGAGGGCAAAUGUUUGAGACCUCUGCUUCACCUGCCUGGUAGUGUGAAAGCCAAUAGCCAGAAAGUGGCUCCUGGACAGACCAGAGCCCUUCAUUUGUUUGACAUAGCUGCCAAGUUCUCCCUUUUUUAAAGUGAAAUUCCCUUAUGCUGAAUAGGCUUCCUCGUGAGAAAAGGGAAAACUUGGCAGCUAUGUUGUUUGAAGAACAAACCCAUUCCCUUCUUUUUCAUUUCCCCAUGGUGCUUCUCAAGAAUAUCAUUUUAAGCAACAUACUUGUCAACCACAACAAUGAUACAUACGUGUCACUUUCUUAUUUAAGUAGUUCUCUCCUUGUAGUUCAUCAACAUUAUUUAUUACUUGUCCAGAUUUCUAGUAGAGUAUUCAUUCUUUUAGCAAUUUGCAUUAUUUAUUGAAAUGGCUUGCUCCUACGUGACAUCAUUUGUAGCAAUUAUAGGGUUUGGCAUAAUAGCUACGUGAUGCCUCAGAUGUCACGUGGAAAUGAAUGAUGACAGAAUCCUGUCCCGGUGAUUAACAUUGAUGUAUUGCUGUGAACUAUAAGAUCCUCUCUAAUACAUUUGAUUUUUCCACAUGUUUUCGUAAUGCUUCAGCACAGAAAGUGACUUUUGGGCUUAGGUCAUAUUCAAGUCAUAGCAUAAUGUGUGGCACUUAUCUGACAUGUGUCUCUGUAGUCCUGUAAUUCCGAAGGUGAAUUCCUAUCAAGUUUCUCCAGUAGUUAAUAAAUUAAAUAUAGAGAACAAUAACAAAGCUGAGGCUGUAGCUGAUAUGAGUAGAACCAUUCUGCCUCUUUAAGUCUGCUCUGCCAUCAUUGAUAUGGGAUUCUGAUCACUGAACUGAGAUCCCCUGGAUAGGGGCUCCUGAAUAGGGGUGGGGAAGAAAUUUGAUUCAGUUCAUAUUGAAAGGAGACGCUACCUAAAAUCACACUUUCCAAACAAUAAGAAAACAAACACAGCCAUCCUUCAACAUUCAGAUUCCUCCAUAUCUUUCAGUGUAGUUCUCUAGCCAAGUAUUGUAUCCAAAAAUACAUAUACUGAGAUAAGAUGUGCAUCAUAAUGCACAUAUUAGUGAACAUGGUGUACAAAUAUGCUUUAGAUUAUGGGAAACUGCUUUGCAAAAUGCAAACCUUAAGGAAGAUUGCUUAAAAUGUACAUAUUAGAAGUUCACACUGAAAUGCUGAUACAUUUUUAUGAGAACUUAUUUUUAAUCGCAAACUGAUGUGAAAAUGUAGAGAACUGAACCGAAGAUCGUAAAAUGAGAACCUGAGAGAAACCAAACCUGACAUUCACCCACCCCUGAAUAACUAAAUGACCCAGGGAUUCUGCAGGUGAGCCACUUGAUGCAAUUCAAGGUAGCUCAAAACUGAAACCUUUCAGGUGAACAUAAGAAGUUGUGUUAUACAGAUUCAGACCAGUAUUGCUGACUCAGACUGGCAGCUCCUCAGGCAGAUGCCAUUCCCAUUGCUGGUGAAACAUGUGAUGGGAAGGAUGAGAGGAAGAAUGAGUGACAGCAGGAGAGCAAGAUGGAGUGGCAGGCAGAGCAAGAACGAGUGACGUGGAGAGAGCCAGCUGAGCAGGAGAGUUAGUUGAGCAAGGCUACAUUCAGAUGUAGGAUUUAUUGUGUGUGUUUGCUGCUUACAAUGCUAGUUUCCUCACUGCGAGAAGCAAAGCUACAGGGAACCAGGCAGAGGGCCUUUUCGGUAGUGGCGCCCGCCCUGUGGAACGCCCUCCCAUCGGAGGUCAAGGAGAUAAACAACUACCUGACAUUUAGACAACACCUAAAGGCAGCCCUGUUUAGGGAAGUUUUUAAUCUGUGAUAUUUUAAUGUAUUUUAGUAUUGUUGGAAGCCGCCCAGAGUGGUGGGGGAAACCCAGCCAGAUGGGCGGGUUAAUAAUAAUAAUAAUAAUAAUAAUAAUAAUAAUAAUAAUAAUAAUGCUUCUGUCCUGAUUUCCAUCAUUCUUUUACACUGAAGAAGCUUGUUGCCUUGGGAACUCUGGCUUUUUAGUCAAUAUACUGGCAUGCCAUGCUAAAUUUUAAAUAUUGGGAAGGAACCGUAUGCUGCUAUGUUGUUGUUGUUUAGUCUUGUCUGACUCAUCCUGACCCCAUGGACCAUAGCACGCCAGGCACUCCUGUCCUCCACCACCUCCCGCAGUUUGGUCAAACUCAUGUUGGUAGCUUCGAGAAUACUGUCCAACCAUCUCGUCCUCUGUCAUCCCCUUCUCCUUGUGCCCUCCAUCUUUCCCAACAUCAGGGUCUUUUCCAGGGAGUCUUCUCUUCUCAUGAUGUGACCAAAGUAUUGGAGCCUCAGCUUCACGAUCUGUCCUUCCAGUGAGCACUCAGGGCUGAUUUCCUUCAGAAUGGAUAGGUUUGAUCUUCUUGUAGUCCAUGGGACUCUCAAGAGUCUCUUGUAGUCCCAGCACCAUAAUUCAAAAGCAUCAAUUCUUCAGCGAUCAGCCUUCUUUAUGGUCCAGCUCUCACUUCCAUACAUCACUAUUGGGAAAACCAUAGCUUUAACUAUAUGGACCUUUGUCGGCAAGGUGAUGUCUCUGCUUUUUAAGAUACUGUCUAGGUUUGUCAUUGCUUUUCUGGUAUACCAGCCCAAAUUUUGACUGUGUGAAACUCCUGUGAAUAGUGGGGUUUGUGUGUCUGUUCUGGGAGAUGCAACCCAUCCCCUAAUCCUUCUUGUAAGUGACAGUAACAGGAGAACCUUACUCCUUUCUCUAGCUCAGGAGGUGGUGACAGCUGUGUAUUUGGGGAAAUGUUAGGGGGAGUCUGAACUCAGCGGACCUGCUGAGUAAUUUACCCAGUGGCCUCUAGGGGACAAGGCCUUUUCCAGUUUCAGUUUUCAGUUUAAACAGAAAACUUAAUAAAAAACGAUUCCAAAAAAAGGCCUUCUCCCAAUCUAGCAGUGUGCUGGGGAUUGAGCUAUGGAAUACCGUCUGGCAGUGUGUUGGUUGGCAUCUGUUUGUCUUGAAGGGUGCACCUUCAGGGCUGAAGUCAAACUAUUGGAGAGUUACAGCACCUGCUUUGGCCCUGAGUGUCGAUAUGGGAGAGACAUGAUUCAAGUUACAAGAAAGUAAAUUCCGACAAAACACCAGGAAGAACUUUCUGACAGUAAGAGCUGCUUGACAGUGGAACGGUCUCCCUCGGGAGGUUGUUGACUCUCCUUCCUUGAAAGUUUUCAGCAGAGGUUGGAUGGCCGUCUGUUGUGGAUGCUUUAGUUGAGAUUCCUGCAUUUCAGGGAGUCAGACUAGAUGACCCUUGAGGUCACUUCCAACUCCACAAUUCUGUGAUUCUAUGUUUUGUUGCAGCUGGGCAGGUGAAGGAGUGCAGUUGUUCUGGUGUGGAUGCACCAUGGCAUUUCUCUCUGCACUCAUCUUAGCAGUCAUUCCUCCUCUGGUCGCUGCUCUGGAUACAUGACCUGGAUACAUGGUGGAGUAAUGUGUGCCUUUGAUUAUAACACAAUCCUCAACCUGCUUAAGCAUCCAUGCUUUCACUUAAUGUAAUGCAGCCUUCAGCAACCUGGCUGCUCUCUGGCUGCUUUAGACUACAGCUCCCAUUAACCCCAGCAAGCGCAGCUACACUGGUGUAGACAAUAUGGCCAUGCUGACUGGGGCUGACAGUUGUCGUCCAAAAUAGUUGAAGGGCACCAGGUUGGCAAAGGCUGAAGGCAUGUACCCUCACCCUGAGUUCAGGAUAGUGAUUCCAUUUAGAUGUAUGCAAAGAGGUUGGUCGCUGUCAUCUAAAACCAAAUAUAAUCACCCGAUGAUCUGUUUGUUCCCGCUCUUUCAAGGGAAGAUACAGGAAAGCUGCUAAUGAGAGGGCAAUUAUUUCAGCUGAAUGCACUAUUUGUUUAUAGCUGGUGAAGAAAAACAACAACCACCACCCCAGAUUAACCACACACUCAAUGCAGUCUGGCAAUUAAACAGUUCAAUAGCAAUAAAACAAUUAGAUCACAAUGGUGAAUUUCCAUUUAAAGCUAAUUAAAACAGUGUAAAAAGUGAUUUGCAUUAAGGGAAAACAAAUGCAACCAUCAAUAUGCGCUAUGAAUACAAGCAAUGGCUCUGUAUCUUAUGGGUUUUUAUGCAGUAAUAAUAUUAAAUGUAUUUAUUUAAAUGAAUGCUAGCUGUCCUAGUAACAUUUCCUCUGCAGCCUUACCAUCUCGGGUGAAAAUGAAGAUGAAGGAAGGCAUUCUCUUAAGCAGAGGGCAAAAGAGAGGCAGGGCAGCAGAGCACUGAGUUGCUCAUCACAUCUUAGCCAGAGAAUCAAUAGGAGCUGGGGAAGAAGGGGAGCAACAACAGGGUAGGAAAGAAGGAAAUGCUACACAGGGAGAUGGCAAAUUCAGGUGAACGGCAAGCACACAAACCAAUUAAAGCUAAUCAUGUUGAAAUUCCAUUGACACCACUGAGAGGAAGAACAUGCUUCCCCCAUUGGUAUCCAUGGACUGAAAACUGCAUCGUGGGGUAGUGUGCAGGCUUCACAUGCAUAGUGGUCCCUCUAGCCAGUAUUGUCUAUUGACAGGGACUGCCUGGGUACUGAGGAGGGGGCACUGGGAGAAGGUGGGGUUGGAGACUGAAUUGGAAUAAGGAACCAGUGAACUGGGGGAGGCUGUAACAGCUGAAAGACAAGAGUCGGAGGCAGGAGGAGCUGCAGGAUUGUAGAGUGAAGGAGAAGAGAGUUCUGUAGCUACUGGGAUUUUCUCCCGCCUUGAGGCUUAUAUCUGAUGUGUGGACGGUCAAUACAGAAGCUGAUAGAAAUGCAGCCAUAGUUCUACGUCACAUGCUCAAAAAUGGUUACCGUUUCCCCACCACCAAGGUGGGAGACUUACACACUGCAUUUCAGUAUGUUAGAUUGCUUGUUAGUGAUUCAGCUAGGUUAGCUGAUAUUAAGUUGCAUCUCUGAUAUUAGCACCGGCUUCAGUUCUGGGCUACAAGCACCUUUGGCUACCUAUCAUUGAGUGAAUGGGUACGGGCAUUUGAUGAGACAGUCCUAUAGCUAAAGCUAAGCAGAUAUGGUCCUUUAAGCUGCCUGGAUGGAAGGCCACCUGGGAACCUUAUGGUCCGUUUCUAGCUGUUAAAUCAGCAGUUUGGAGGUGAUAAAUGUUUGUUUCUGUCAUGAAAAGAGUCACCUGCUGAUUUCUGUAUACUGUAUCAGACCUUUAUUAAAAGCACACAAACAAGUCAGCCCCUUACACACACACACACACACACACACACACACGAUUAUCCACAAGCAUAUAUGAAUGGUUCACGUGAAAGUGUAAAAAAUAAAACUACAUUACAAAUGUAGAAACUGCCUAAUGCCCGGUGGUCAUACUAUUUGUCUACCCUGUUACCUUCAGAACCUUUUUUCUGACCAGCCUCUCCUGUGCACUUAAAUACAAAACCUUUGCCUCUUCCUUCAGACAGAAAUGUUUCCAGGUCCUGGAGAAUUUCGUGGUAUUCCCACAGUUGCCACUGUGUGGAGAUGUUGCGUCAUAAUCCCACCCAGACUGUGAAUAUUGCAGACGGCUCAAGGCUCAGUUGAAUUGUCAUUGUCCAAAGUGAUUUUCCUGCCAAUUCCAUUGUAUCAUAUUCUGAAAAGCUUUGCCUGCAUCUUCUUAUUGAACCAAUAUAUCUGGUGAUACAGAAUUUCUUACAAACAGCAUGUGGCCUGCAAUGUUAGGUGCAUUUACCUGGGAGUAAGCACUGAACCCAGGGGAACUUGCUUCUGUGUAAGCAUGCAUAGGAUUACAUUUAUAGCAAUUUGCAGGUUGGGGUGCUUUCUGUAUUUAUCACUUUUGUAAAUGGGGUGUCAUAUGUUUCAUUCCCCCCCCCCCGAAGAAUUGAUCAUUUUUUUAAAAAAAAUGUGUGAUGGUAGAUUGCAAGUAUUACCAUAUAUGCAUUUCAACCCUGCUUUUCUAUCAAGCGGACACUCAGAUAUCUGUAUCAGUUGUGAAUUUUCCUUCUUGAUUAUAAUCGAGGCAAAGUGUUAUUUGCUUUGCUUUUUCCCUGGCACAGGUUAGUGGAAGUUGCAUUCAGAAUGCAGAGCAGCGGUUCAAGUGAUAGAUCUUUCUAUCUAUUCAGGAAGAAAGCAGCAUUACAGUCAUGACACAACAACAAAUAAAACAAAAUGUAACAAAGGUGAGAACAAGCAAACCGGUCAUAAAUAUUAUUGGGAUACGGAUAUACAGAGGGUGACAAAGAACAGCCAGCUCUUUGGAAAUCCCUCCCUAGAGAAGCUAGACUGGUUUCCUCCUUGUUGUCCUUCCACCAGCAGCUGAAGAUAGUUUUAUUCUGACAGGAUUUUAUGGACUGGCUGUUGUUGUUGUUUUAGGGAAAGGCUUUUGAAUUAUGCUGUGCUAUUUUACUUGCUGUAUAUUAACAGAUUUUUUAUAUUAUGUUCAUUCUAUUAUAGUUUUAUUACUUGCUAACUGUUAUCUUUCAUAGUUUUUAUGAAACAUAUUCUUUAUUUUAGCUGUGUGUUUUUUAAUUUGUGUAAGUUGUCAUAAGUCCUGGUCUGCAAAAAAAGGCAUUAUUAUUAUUAUUAUUAUUAUUAUUAUUAUUAUUAUUAUUACAGUCAUACCUUGGUUCUUCAAUUUAAUCCAUUCUGGGAGUCCAUUUGACUCCCGAAACAGUUUGAAAACCAAGGCGUGAUUUUCAAUUGGCUGCAGGGGCUUCCUGCAGCCAAUUGGAAGCCGCAUCGGAUGUUUGCCUUCCAAAAAAUGUUCGCAAACCAGAACACUCACUUCCAGGUUUGUGACAUUCAGGAGCCAGUUUGUUUGACAACUAAGGCUUUGGACUACCAAUAUAUGACGGUAUUGUUUCCUUGCCACUGCUGCCAGUUCCACUCAGUAGUUUUCCUGGACUUUGGCAAGUUCUCAGAUUUCUUCAGGGAUAUGGGAACUUGGGAGGCUCACUUCCAAGUGUUGGGGUUGAGGCACAUAGGACUCAGGUAGGCAAUAGAAGCAUCCUGGCUUUUCAGCAGGAAAAAGAAGGUGCUGCUGGGCGCAGCUAUUGUUGGUUUUGUUUAGUCAUUUAGUCGUGUCCAACUCUUCGUGACCCCAUGGACAACUGCACACCAGGCACUCCUGUCUUCCACUGCCUCCUGCAGUUUGGUCAAACUCAUGUUUGUAGCUUCGAGAACACUGUCCAACCAUCUCAUCCUCUGUCGUCCCCUUCUCCUAGUGCCCUCCAUCUUUCCCAACAUCAAGGUCUUUUCCAAGGAUUCUUCUCUUCUCAUGAGGUGGCCAAAGUAUUGGAGCCUCAGCUUCACGAUCUGUCCUUCCAGUGAGCACUCAGGGCUGAUUUCCUUAAGAAUGGAUAGGUUUGAUCUUCUUGCAGUCCAUGGGACUCCAGCACCAUAAUUCAAAAGCAUCAAUUCUUUGGCGAUCAGCCUUCUUUAUGGUCCAGCUCUCACUUCCAUACAUCACUACUGGGAAAACCAUAGCUUUAACUAUACGGACCUUUGUAGGCAAGGUGAUGUCUCUGCUUUUUAAGAUGCUGUCUAGGUUUGUCAUUGCUUUUCUCCCAAGAAGCAGGCGUCUUUUAAUUUCGUGACUGCUGUCACCAUCUGCAGU